CUUCUUAUAAGCUGCAGCUUCCCUUAAAAGGACCAAAUUGUGCUUCAAGAAAAGCAGAAAGCCCCUUUUAAAUAAAUAUCCAGAACUUUUAAUAUCUUUUGGCAUAUACCCUUUGAGAAAGUGUAUCUAAUGAUAUAGGCUAGUUCACAUUAAAGGGUAUACUGAUUAUAUUUAAGACUUCUUCAUGACUUGAAUAGGAAAUCUGUUACCAACCCUUUUUAAAUAAACUAAGAUUAAAUACUUAAUUAAAAUACAUCUAUUCUGCCUUUCAGUUGAGCAUCCUCAUGUUUGCGCACAUGCAAAGUGCCAGACUAGAUCAAACUACGAUUGAAACAUUUUCUCAAACAGUUAGCAUGCAGUUUUUAUAAAUUAUAUGAUAUGUAAUAUUACAAAUCUGAGGCCGUUUGGUCUAGACUUGGUGAUGAAUUACGCACAUAGUACAAGAAUUUAGUGCAUAGAUGAUGCCUCUCCUGAUAUUAAUAAUGAACUCGUCGUUCUCAACAAAUAAAAUGACGGCACGUUCAUGGCAAAGCCUGUUGUUUCGGGCCUUAGAAAAGUGGAUUUGUUCGACUCAAAAGCGUAUUUUUUUAUAAUAAUUUGUCUAUAAUAGUCUUAGUAUUAGAU
rnacentral:lncRNA from 1 species